rnacentral:rRNA from 1 species
UAAAGGCCUACCAAGGCGACGAUCGUUAGCUGGUCUGAGAGGAUGAUCAGCCACACUGGGACUGAGACACGGCCCAGACUCCUACGGGAGGCAGCAGUGGGGAAUAUUGGACAAUGGGCGCAAGCCUGAUCCAGCAAUGCCGCGUGGGUGAAGAAGGUUUUCGGAUUGUAAAGCACUUUCGGCGGGGACGAUGAUGACGGUACCCGCAGAAGAAGCUCCGCCUAACUUCGUGCCAGCAGCCGCGGUAAUACGAAGGGGGCUAGCGUUGCUCGGAAUGACUGGGCGUAAGGGGCGCGUAGGCGGUUUGCACAGUCGGGCGUGAAAUUCAUUAGUAUAACCUGGGGACUGCAUUCGAGACGUGUAGGCUUGAGUGGGGAAGAGGGUCGUGGAAUUCCCAGCGUAGAGGUGAAAUU